rnacentral:rRNA from 1 species
GCGGCAUGCCUUACACAUGCAAGUCGAACGGCAGCACGGGGCAACCUGGUGGCGAGUGGCGCACGGGUGCGUAACACGUAUGCAACCUACCUUACAUUGGGGGAUAGCCUUUCGAAAGGGAGAUUAAUACCGCAUAAGACAGUAACAUGGCAUCAUGUAGCUGUUAAAGAUUUAUCGAUGUAAGCUGGGCAUGCGUCCAAUUAGUUAGUUGGUGAGGUAACGGCUCACCAAGACGAUGAUUGGUAGGGGAACUGAGAGGUCAAUCCCCCACACUGGCACUGAGAUACGGGCCAGACUCCUACGGGAGGCAGCAGUAGGGAAUAUUGGGCAAUGGACGCAAGUCUGACCCAGCCAUGCCGCGUGCAGGAAGAAGGCGUUCUGCGUUGUAAACUGCUUUUAUAUAGGAAGAAACGACCCUUGCGAGGGGCAUUGACGGUAUUAUAUGAAUAAGCACCGGCUAACUCCGUGCCAGCCGCCGCAGUAACAC